rnacentral:rRNA from 1 species
AUGUUCUUACCCGGUGGUUCUCAUGAAGAUGUUCUUCAAGUUUAUUAUUCUUCAUUCUUUUUCUUCUCCGGUGGAUUCAAUUCAAGCUUUGUCGAUCAUGUCCUUUCCUCGUUUCAAAUGUUUUCUCAUGCCGGUGCAACUCUUAAUCAUUCCCCGCUUGCUAUUCAAUUGUUCCGGAGUGCUGAAGUUAUCCCAGAAGAUUCAAGUUUCUAUUCGAAAUCCUUUCAAGCUAUUUCGAGGUCUUACCUUAUUCAACCAUUUAAUUCAACCGGUGCAAUCUCAUUUUCAAGUAAUCAUUUCAACAGUGUUUCUUUUGAGUGGGCCCUAACCCACAGGUCUUUUCCCAGGAUCUUACCUGACUCUUAUAAUUCUUUCCGGAGUUAUUCUCAAAUUCUUUUCGAAGUUUGA